ACCUUCUUCCACAUUAACAGCUCCCUGGCAGCCACAGAAAUGCUUUGAAACUAAUGGGCAAGGACAGCUGUCUCAAAGGGUUCUGCAAAACCACUAUCCAGAAACAAACCAAAAAUGGUUCUGCAAGUUCACCAAGAGGAAUAAAAGAAGCUGAGAAAAAUGGAUUUCAUCUGGGUUCUUGCCCUUGGACCCACACACUAAAUAAAGGAAUACUGAGGACAGACAAUUCUAAAUCACAAGAGAAAAGCAUCAAAUGUAAAAUAAAAUCUUCUGACUGAAUUGCAA